AUAAGAAUCACGGGUGCUGAAAAUGGAUGCUAGAGACUCCAACAGGAAAGAUGGCAUACAGCUGUAGGUUUGAAAUGGGAGGAAAGAGAUGUGAAUAUUUAUACACACAAGCCGUUGGGGAGGGCUGAGUCUUGCCUUGAGUAUCUGUGCAGAAGAGGAGAGGGAGACAACAGACACCAGCAAAGCAUUCCUAAAACACGAUAUGCUACACACGUUCCCAGUAGGGACAGACGCCUAAAGAAGCCUGUUUGUGUGCUGUGGCCACGUUCUGCUGUGACUGGAUCUUGUCCUCUGCCUGGCUCCUCGAUUUCCGUCCGGCUGGAUUUGGGACCAACACUGCCUGGCGCAGACAGAUCAAAUGAGACUUCAAAGAAGCAUAAAAUGAACAGCCUAUUCAAUCAAACAAAGGUAAUUUAAAAUUUUUUGUUUGACAAAAUCUGAUGUUCAAAACAAAAAUAGAAUAUUGUUUACUGGAAGUCAGGUCAUCAGUCUCUCACAUUUCUUUUGCAGCAGAUAGAAUUCCAGAUACAUCUAAGUUUCAGUUUGUACAGUUAUUUCUUCUGUUGGAGCCUUUGUAUGUAUGUAAUGUAUACAUAUAUGUAUGUGCAUAGAACAUAAUAUAAAUAAAGCCUACAAUAGCCUAUAAGAAAGAAGCUCAUAUUUAGAAAGAAGGGUAAGAUAUUUUUACUAUAAUGAAAGCCAGUUGAGUUCAUCACUUGGACCAUGGACAUUGAUGUAAACGAAAUUGUUUAAAAAAAUAAGACAAUAGUAGUAUUGACUGUAGAUUACAAUUUGCACACUUGUAAUUCUUACAAACCAAAUAAUUCAAGUGAGUUGAUGUUUGGUCAGUUCUUUAUGCAUUCAUUCUGCAUUAAUGUGUAUAGGAUUCAAAGAUAUUCUAAAUAUCGGUCAUAAACCAAGUGUAUAUGAAUUAAUUAAUAGCAUAAUUCUGACCCAGAUAUGAGGAAAACCAUAACUUUUACUUUAAACCAAGAGAGACUGUUUUAUUCCCAAGUAAACCAGGAUGUUUCAAGUCAUGUUUCAGCAAUUUGGAGACCAAUAAAAGAUUCAAAAGCAAGCACGACAACCACAUGCUAAUCUACUAUUUACUAGUGAGAAUUUGUUAGAGGAAAAAGCAGUCAGGUCUCUUGAAUUCACUAUAUCCUUCACUAUGCUGAUUUUCAAGUAGAUAUUCUGUAGCUCAGCUAAAAAUCUAAGUUUAAAGUGUAGUUACUAAGAUAUGCUCUUUACACAUGACGUCGCUAGGACUCCUUGAGGCAUAUGUAAUUGUAAGGUACUGUGGGGUGUAUAUAAUAAUACAUAUGAUAAAUCAUGUUAUAAACCUUGCCAAUAUU